GACGAACGCUGGCGGCGUGCUUAACACAUGCAAGUCGAACGGUAAGGCCCUUCGGGGUACGCGAGUGGCGAACGGGUGAGUAACACGUGGGUGAUCUGCCCUGCACUUCGGGAUAAGCCUGGGAAACUGGGUCUAAUACCGGAUAGGACCACUGCCUGCAUGGGUGGUGGUGGAAAGCUUUUGCGGUGUGGGAUGGGCCCGCGGCCUGUCAGGUUGUUGGUGGGGUGAUGGCCUACCAAGGCGACGACGGGUAGCCGGCCUUCGAGGGGGACGCGCCACUCUGCGACGGAGCUACGGCCCAGACUCCUUCGGGAGGCAGCAGUGGGGCAUAUUGAACAGUGGGCGCAAGCCUGAUGCAGCGACGCCGCGUUGGGGAUGUCGGCCUUCGGGUUGUAAACCUCUUUCAGCACCGACGAAGCGCAAGUGACGGUAGGUGCAGAAGAAGGACCGGCCAACUACGUGCCAGCAGCCGCUGUAA
rnacentral:rRNA from 1 species